GGGAAGUUGGCUCAGUGGUAGAGUGCUUGUCUAGCAUGCAUGAGCCCUGGGUUCGAUUCCUCAGUACCUC
rnacentral:tRNA from 1 species